rnacentral:tRNA from 1 species
UCCACAGUAGCUCAGUGGUAGAGCUAUCGGCUGUUAACCGAUCGGGCGAAGGGUCGAAUCCUGACUGUGGAGCCA